rnacentral:lncRNA from 1 species
GUAAGGUACGAUAGUCAUUACCGUAACCACCACGGACUUCCGCUGAGCGCCCGUCUCCGCGAAAGUACUGACCCUGGACCCCCAGUUGCCUGGGUCCACCUGUCGAACCAAACACAAGCCUCUUUUAGGUCUCUUUCACUCAUCUGAGCAGGACUUGGCUACCCAGAAACGCCACCUAACACCCGCAGCUUCGCCCCAUCAUCUGUGACUACCUACUGUGCCCGUGAGACUGUCCAGUCUAUAGACUGCCGCUCAGAGAAGGAAGGGACGUGUCUCCUGAUGGUCCCACUUCAGGAGCCAGCAUCCCAGCGAACUGAUACCAGCUGAUAGAGGAGGAAAAAGCCGAGAAGCCAGUUCAGAAAGGCCUGACAUCUUCUCCCUCCCGCAGGAGCCACAGACACUCACCACUAGGUUCCCCCUCCCUUCUCAGGGACCCUGCACUUAGGUGCUCACUGAAUCCCAUUCACCUCAAGGCCCUGAAGAAAACUGCCCAGCAACUCUCCCGUCUCCUCUUGACAUAAUUUUUUCACUCUCCCAGAUUAUUCCCAUUGGUUUAUAAUAGUGUUGGGGUUUUCUCCCGUCUUGCAAGGUAAACAAAACAAAACUCAUAACCUUUAUCCCCUCCAGCUACAACCUCCUCUCUUUUUACUUCACAAUAAAACUCCUGAAAAAGAAUCAUCUGCUCCCUCUGUUUUAAAUCUUUCCUGGUCAUUCUUAAACCCCUUUCCAUCAUCAUUUCUCUCCCACCACCUCCCUGAGUCUCUCACCAUGGUGCUCAAUGUCCCAUCGCUGCCUAACCUCAGCAGUGUCUUGUCAGUUUUCUCCUGUGUGGCCCCUCAGUAGCUUGGGUGCAGCUGUUCCUCCUUGAAACAUCUCUCCUUCUUUCCUCAGCUUAAGGACAC